GAGAGGAAGAGGUAAUUAGGUUUAUUCAUUUAUUUAUUUUUGGAGGAAGUACUGGGGAUGGAACCUGGGACCCCGUGCAUGCUGAGCACGCGCUCUGCCCCUGAGACCCUGCCUGGUCUCUGCAGGCUGCCAAGGUCAGCCCCCUCUGGAACACUGCGUCCUUCUCCCUGGGUUCCAGACCAAGGACCCCCCCACCGGCUCCCCGCUGUUAGUAGCCCCCGGCUCUCCCCCCGGCUUGCCCACCUUUUCUAAAUCAUCCCUUUAUUAAAACCUCCUUGAAUUCCUCCGCUUGAGGGGGUUGUCCAUUUCCUGCUGAGACCCCAAGAGCGUGUUGUAGGUAAAG